rnacentral:rRNA from 1 species
UGGUGGGUUGCCUUGUCAGGUUGAUUCCGGUAACGAACGAGACCUCAGCCUGCUAAAUAGCCACGGCUGGUGCUCCAGCUGGCGGGCUUCUUAGAGGGACUAUUGGCGAUUAGCCAGUGGAAGUGUGAGGCGAUAACA